rnacentral:rRNA from 1 species
GACGAACGCUGGCGGCGUGCUUAACACAUGCAAGUCGAACGGAAAGUCCCUGCUUUUGUGGUUUGCUCGAGUGGCGAACGCGUGAGUAACACGUGAGUAACCUGCCCUUGCCUUUGUGAUAACUUCAGGACACUCGGGCUAAUACCGGAUAUGAGCUCCUGCUGCAUUGUGGGCUUUGGAAAUUUUCGGCGUUUGGGUAUGGUCUCGCGGCUUAUCAGAUUCUUGGUGGGGUAGUGGCUUACCAAGGCUUUGACGGGUAGCCGGCCUGAGAGGGUGACCGGCCACAUUGGGACUGAGAUACGGCCCAGACUCCAACGGGAGGCAGCAGUGGGGAAUAUUGAACAAUGGGCGGAAGCCUGAUGCAGAAACGCCGCGUGCGGGAUGACGGCCUUCGGGUUGUAAACCGAGUUCGCCUGUGACGAAGCGUGAGUGACGGUAAUGGGUAAAGAAGCACCGGCUAACUACGUG